AUGCCCAAUGGGGCACAAGCUUCGACUGAAGAAGGCGAGGCGAGCGGGGGCGAGGCGAGCGGGGGCGAGAGCCAGGAAGAGGAGGAAUGGGACUCGGAUGCUGCAGGGGAUGAUGACGACGAUGAUGAUGAUGAAGGUGACGAAGAUGACAUCGAGGACGAAGAAGAAGAGGAGGAGGAGGCCGUUCCACCGCGCUCAGAAAGGCGGUCGAAGCUUGUCCACGACCCUUCGACCGAACGUGGUAAGGGGGUUGCGACCGCCACUCAGUCGACCAAGCGCCCUCGGACCACCUCUCCGGCGCCGACUGAAAAGGCGCCGAAGCAGCUCAGGGCGGCCUCAUCGAAGCCGACCAAGCUCCUGCCGAAGAUGAAGGUGUCUAUCCCCACCAUAUCAGGGUAA
rnacentral:rRNA from 1 species